rnacentral:rRNA from 1 species
GACGAACGCUGGCGGCAGGCCUAACACAUGCAAGUCGAGCGAACAUAUCGGGGUCAGCGUCGGACGGGGGUGUAACGCGUGGGAAUAUUCACUUCUCUACAGACUAGUCCUGGGAAACUGAGGAUAAUACCGUAUACGCCCUAUGGGGGGAUGAUUUAUCGGGGCAGGAUGAGCCGGCGUUGGAUUCGGUAGUUGGUGGGGUAAUGGCCUACCAAGCCGCCGAUCCAUAGCUGGUUUGAGAGGAUGAUCAGCCACACUAGGACUGAGACACGGCCCAGACUCCUACGGGAGGCAGGAGUGGGGAAUCUUAGACAAUGGGGGCAACGCUGAUCGAGCCAUGCCGCGUGAGUGAUGAAGGCCUUAGGGUUGUAAAGCUCUUUCAGCUGGGAAGAUAAUGACGGUACCAGCAGAAGAAGCCCCGGCUAACUACGUG